UGGGGAAUAUUGGACAAUGGGCGCAAGCCUGAUCCAGCCAUGCCGCGUGAGUGAUGAAGGCCCUAGGGCUGUAAAGCUCUUUCACCGGUGAAGAUAAUGACGGUAACCGGAGAAGAAGCCCCGGCUAACUUCGUGCCAGCAGCCGCGGUAAUACGAAGGGGGCUAGCGUUGUUCGGAUUUACUGGGCGUAAAGCGCACGUAGGCGGACUUUAAAGUCAGGGGUGAAAUCCCGGGGCUCAACCCCGGAACUGCCUUUGAUACUGGAAGUCUUGAGUAUGGUAGAGGUGGGUGGAAUUCCGAGUGUAGAGGUGAAAUUCGUAGAUAUUCGGAGGAACACCAGUGGCGAGGGCGGCUCACUGGACCAUUACUGACGCUGAGGUGCGAAAGCGUGGGGAGCAAACAGG
rnacentral:rRNA from 1 species